GGGGGUAUAGCUCAGCUGGGAGAGCGCUUGCAUGGCAUGCAAGAGGUCAUCGGUUCGAUCCCGAUUAUCUCCACCA
rnacentral:tRNA from 1 species